GUCCCUGUAGCGCAAUGGAUAGCGCGUUGGACUUCUAUUUCAAGGGUCGCUGAUUCGAAUCCUACCUGGGAUG
rnacentral:tRNA from 1 species